rnacentral:rRNA from 1 species
UACGGGGGGGGCAAGCGUUGUUCGGAAUUACUGGGCGUAAAGGGCUCGUAGGCGGCCAACUAAGUCAUACGUGAAAUCCCUCGGCUUAACCGGGGAACUGCGUCUGAUACUGGAUGGCUUGAAUCCGGGAGAGGGAUGCGGAAUUCCAGGUGUAGCGGUGAAAUGCGUAGAUAUCUGGAGGAACACCGGUGGCGAAGGCGGCAUCCUGGACCGGCAUUGACGCUGAUGAGCGAAAGCCAGGGGAGCAAACGGG